rnacentral:misc_RNA from 1 species
CUGCUAGACCUGAAAAUUGAAGAAACAUAAUAAAUGACAAAGCUAGAGGGAAAGGGUCAACCAAAAUUUUUCAGAACAUGAAGAAAUGUGUGUGGCAAAAUUACAACAAACAGAACUUUCUAACAUAUGCAGUUUGGUAUCCACCAAGAAUAAAAGCCAACUAAAUGAAUUUUUAUCAUGGUUGUCGAUAAUUAUCAUUACCAGUGAUCAAGGAUCCCAGUUCAGGAGUUCUCAGUAACACUGGCCAGACUCUACUUGAUUCAGGCUGUUCUCUGUAUUUUCUUCAGCACCAAUAAAAAGAAUGCUUUGUAUUGUAGAACCCAUCAUCAUUGCACCAUUUGCAAGAGAUUCAAGCACAGAAAUAUUGAACUGACAAUUUCAAUCACUUGUUUCUGGUUGAGAAAUCUUUGGAUGUAGAAGGAAUGGGAAGGAAACUUUCGGGUGGGGGAGGAAUAUAAAGUUACCAAAAAAGAGAGAAAAAAAAAA